rnacentral:tRNA from 1 species
UGUAGCUCAAUUGGUAGAGCACCUGACUUGUAAUCAGGGGGUUGUGGGUUCGAUUCCUAUCG